AGCAUCCUCCGACGGUGGUGUCACUGGAGGUGUUGCUGCAGCAGUUUUCGUCGUUGUGGCAGCUUUCAUCACUGGAUACUUUAUCUGGCGAAAGAAAUGUCAUGCUGGACAGACCUCCAAUUGACAAAGAACGCAAUCAUUAGCUUCACAACAACAAGCUGAUUCCCAGGAGUCAACCACAGAACCGGAUAACUCCGCAGAAUCAGCUACACUGGAAGUACCAGGAUGUGCAGACACAGAAAAUAUGAAUUUAAAGGACAUAAAAAUAACUGAAAUUUAAUAAAAAAACUUGUCUAAAACAUUA